CCGAUCAGCUCAUCAGGAGAUGGAGCUCAUUUCUACUGUCCGCAAUCCAUUUGUUGUAGAGUACAAAGAUUCAUGGGUUGAAAAGGGUUGCUAUGUGUGCAUCGUUAUUGGAUAUUGUGAAGGCGGAGAC